rnacentral:rRNA from 1 species
UGGGGAAUUUUGGACAAUGGGGGAAACCCUGAUCCAGCCAUCCCGCGUGUGCGAUGAAGGCCUUCGGGUUGUAAAGCACUUUUGGCAGGAAAGAAACGUCAUGGGUUAAUACCCCGUGAAACUGACGGUACCUGCAGAAUAAGCACCGGCUAACUACGUGCCUGCAGCCGCGGUAAUACGUAGGGUGCAAGCGUUAAUCGGAAUUACUGGGCGUAAAGCGUGCGCAGGCGGUUCGGAAAGAAAGAUGUGAAAUCCCAGAGCUCAACUUUGGAACUGCAUUUUUAACUACCGGGCUAGAGUGUGUCAGAGGGAGGUGGAAUUCCGCGUGUAGCAGUGAAAUGCGUAGAUAUGCGGAGGAACACCGAUGGCGAAGGCAGCCUCCUGGGAUAACACUGACGCUCAUGCACGAAAGCGUGGGGAGCAAACAGG